CACGGGGGUUGCGAGCGUUGUCCGGAAUUACUAGGCGUAAAGGGCAGGCAGGCGGAUCCAUAAGUUUAUCGUUUAAGGCGUCGGCUUAACCGGCGUAGGGCGGUAGAUACUGUGGAUCUGGAAUGCGGUUGGGGAAGACAGAAUUCCUGGUGUAGCGGUGAAAUGCGUAGAAAUCAGGAGGAAUACCAGUGGCGAAGGCGGCUUUCUGGACUGACCCUGACGCUGAGGUGCGAAAGCGUGGGUAGCAAACAGGAUUAGAUACCCGCGUAGUCCCUGAGCGGG
rnacentral:rRNA from 1 species